UCCCGUGCUGCAUGCUUCCUGCCCACGAACAUCAGACUCCAAGUUCUUCAGCUUUUGGGCUCUUGGACUUUACACCAGUGGUUUGCCAGGGGCUCUCAGGCCUUCAGCCACAGACUGAAAGCUGCACUGUCGGCUUCCCUGCUUUCGAGGUUUUGGGACUCAGACUGGCUUCCUUGUUCCUUACCUUGUAGAUGGCAUAUUUUGAGAGUUCACCUUGUGAUCGUGGUUCUUGUUAGGAAUUGCUGGUCCCCCUAAAUCUUAACAAUGACAUUUCUGUACCUAUCUACAUGAUCGCCUGCAGUUUUUUCCUUCUGAUUUGUUUGCACAAAGAAUUAUGCAGGAUUAAAAACUUCAAUGAACAAUAUCUCCCUUCUGUUUUGGCUUUAGAAAUCAGGUUGUUAUUGGUGGAACUGUACCCCUCCCACACCCCCAAUUCACAUGGUGAUGUUCUAACCCGCAGUACCUCACAAUGUGACCUUAUUUGGAGAUAGGCAUUUUUUAGAGGUAAUCAAGUAAAAAUGAGGUCAUUAGGAAGGCCUAACCCAAGAUGACAGUGUCCUCUAUGAGAAGGAGGAAUUUGGACAUAGACACACACAAGGCGAACAUCAUGUGAAGAUGAAGCCAGAGACCAGGAUGCUGCUUCAACAUGCCGAAGAACACCAGAGACUUCCAGAAAACCACUAGGAAUUCAGUGAAAGGGAUGAAACA
rnacentral:lncRNA from 10 species